CGGGGCUACUGCUCUGUAAUUGGCAUGGGGGCGACCUUCACCCUCGCCCGAGUACCCAUUGGAGGGCAAGUCUGGUGCCAGCAGCCGCGGUAAUUCCAGCUCCAAUAGCGUAUAUUAAACUUGUUGCAGUUAAAAAGCUCGUAGUUGUACUUCACGUCCCCCGCUUGGUCCUUCCUCGCCGGGACGCCUCGUUACUUUGAGAAAAUUAGAGUGUUUCAAGCAGGUUUCGCCUGUAUAAUUGAGCAUGGAAUAACCUUGUAUGACCCUGUCGUACCGUUGGUUGACUUUGGGUAAUGGUUAAUAGGAACGGUUGGGGGCAUUCGUACUCGACUGUCAGAGGUGAAAUUCUUAGAUUUGUCGAUGACGCACGACUGCGAAAGCAUUUGCCAAGGACGCUUCCAUUAAUCAAGAAC
rnacentral:rRNA from 1 species